UUCCGAUCGGACACUUCCGGUGGAAGGACUGAGCGGCGCUACACUUCAAGAAUUCCGUCCACAGGGACUUGUGAGUCUGCGCAGAAGGCGGGAUGCCUUUGGACUACAAUUCCAAGAAUCCUUCCUGGGUCUCUUCGGGCGCAGACUUUUCGCCAAAGUCCUGAAGAUCUCAGGGCUUGAAGGAGGGGGCAUCUUUUUUCUCCAUUGUAGUAGUGUGUCUUGCUAAAUAACAGAAGGGACUCCUGAAAAGAAAAUGACGUUGGCCGGGCGCGGUGGCUCACGCCUGCAGUCCCAGCACUUUGGGAGGCCGAGACGGGCGGAUCACGAGAAGGGUGCGUCUCACGGAUGGAGCAAUGGCGAGAGCACACCUGAACAAGGGAGGGGAAGGGGUUCUUAUCCCUGACGCAGGUAGUCCCUAGUGCUGUGUCGUUCCCCUACUGGCUAGGGUUGGACCGCACAGUCUAAGUUAAUUCCGAUUGGCUAUUUUAAAGAGAGCAGGGGUAUGAGCCGGAGUGGUAGGGUGAGCAGUUUCAGUGGGAAGGACGGUUACGGAACAGGUGACUAAAGGUGGUGAAAUUGAAGCCCACGCAGCAGGGUUGCAACUGAAACUUCAUCUCCUCUGCAAAACCUUCCUGCAUUCCCAGACAACUUUUCUUCUGAGGCCUUGUUUGAUUCAUCCCCUUACCCCAGUGGAACUCAGAUAUUCAAAAUGGUAUUAAUUAAAACCACUGGCUGUCAUUGGUCCAUGCAUGGCCUUAAAGUGUGAACAUUUUUUAAUCCAUUACCUAGUCUAUAAGAACUGUAGAUUGACAACAACUUAGAUUUAAUACUACUCUUUUUCUAGUCCCUCUCUAUACUACCUCUCAUCCGAGGAAACACUAUCACAAAUUUUGUAUUUGUUGUUCCCUUGCUUUUUAACAAGAUGAUUCUAUUAGAUAUGUACUGUUUUGUCCCCCAAAAGUGGUGGCAGGGGAGUUCACACAAGGGAGUGCCCAAAACCGUCCUAGUUGGGGCUGGUUGGGAUUCCAAAGAAAGGAGCACUAUGUGCCAAGGUGAUCUGUCCAAAGCAUUUAUUAAGGGAACUUACAUAGUGUUGCAGGAAUCCUCCCCAUGGGUGGUGAGAGAAAAGGGACAUUCUACCUAGAUAUGUCUGCAGUGAGGGGGUCAGGGUAUGGAGUUUAUAUAAGGGUUUAAAGAAUUUGGCUCAGGGCCAGAGCUAGUUUCUUUCACUGUUUUCAGUGACAACUUAGAUACCUUUAUCAGUGCCUGGGAAUGUUCAAGACCCAAGUUUGGGUUCAAGCAUGCUGGGAAAAAAUCUGCAGCUGGCUAGGUCACAGAGAGGUCAAGGCACUCUGAUUUUCAGUCACAGAAUAGUCAAGGCUCUGUGAUUUCCAGUCAGAGAUCCUGCAAUCCAUUUUCCUGACUGGCUCUUACAAUCUCACAUGCCCAUCUCUUCCUAUAUGUUCCCUGAGCUGGUCAGAAAGGGUGGGAUCAUCGGCAAUUUCUUUCCCCUGGCUUUAUGAAACACUGCAAACAAAACCUACACUAACAGUAAAUACAAGUGCACCUGACAAAAUCUAAAAUCACAUUUUCCAAAAGGCUUCCUAGCAGAGCUUUCCACCAAGGACCCCAUCCUGGAAAACAUGACUUUGUGUAGACCACCAGGCAUACCCUAUGUGGUCAGUAAGCUGUAAUUGCUUUCGUGAGUGAAGGACGGAUUGAUUAACUUCAGCUUCUUUGUCUAGAAUAUACACACAAUGUUCACUUUUGUAAAGGGCACAGGUUCCCCCUUGCACAGAUGUCAGCAUCUCUAGGGCCAUUUGGUUUUGUAGACCACUUUUUUCACUGCAGCUGUUUCAAUGUUCAAGGCCUCCAUACCAUGUUUGGUGUUGUUCAAAGCUGUGGAGACAAAUCUCUGAAGGGCUUCCAGCUUCUACACAGUAUCAGAAGAACCUCCUGGAGGCACAAAUAUAGUCAAUAAGUAAUCCCACCAAGAAAAAACAGGUCUACUCCACUGACCUCUCCAGAUGGACUCAUUGAGGGAUACAGGAAUGGUGCCAGAGAUUCUGGAGUCAUCCAAGCCACCCCAGGGGAAGCCAGGGCUGGAG
rnacentral:lncRNA from 1 species